rnacentral:rRNA from 1 species
AUGACCACGGCGACGGGUGGCGUCGCGCCGGCGCCGUCCCGUGCCGCCGCCGCACCGUCAAAGUUCCCCAAUGCGGCGCGGCCGAAGAAGGGAAAAACAUCCGGGAAGAAGAACAAGGCGGCGGAUGGCUCCGGCAGCUUGAAGGAGAGGGGAAAGAAGCUUGCAGGGCGUUCGACGGAUGUAGCGGCUACCGAAGCGCCGGCGAGCUCACUCGUUGAGCCGGCCGCCGACGCGCACCCCGUGUUCGACGAAAUGCCCCCAAGUCUCAACGAUGAUGCAUACAUGUCAACUAUGGGUGUUGGGUCCAACAAUUCGCAUUGGUCUCAAACCAAUGACAUCCAUUUCAAAGACCAUGAGUUUGAGGUGGACGAGGAGGUGUCGAGGGAUCCAUCCGUUGGAGGUGAUCAAAGUAGAGAUGCUUAUUGGGGGCGAAUGAAAGAACACUUUGAUGCUCACAACGUGAGUGGAAUUGACCGCGCCGAGAGGUCACUUCGGUCCCGAUGGUCGACAAUCAACUCGGAUUUUCAAAAGUGGGCGGCCGCACAAAAGGCAGUUGACAAGAUUAACCCAAGUGGCACGAAUGAGGAUGAUAGAUACAACAUUGCACAAAACUUGUUCGAAGAAGAGACGAGGACAACCAAGAAAGGGAAGAUCAAGAAAGGAAGGAUCUUCACAUUUCCUCAUUGCUAUGAAGUGUUGAAGGAUGAUGAGAAAUGGAAGAAGCGUGAUGGUUUGGAAGAUUUGCAUUUGAGCAACAAACGCAAGCGAACAAUUGAGUUGAAUGAUGAUGAUGAGGAGGAAGAGGAUGAUGCAUCAAGUGAUGACGGCAAGAGAAGCCCCACACCCAACUCGGUUUCAUACUCGAAGCCAAAACGACCGGAUGGGUGCAAGAAAGACAAAACCGAAAAGAAGAAGAGGAAAGGAGAUGAUGAGCUCAAAAAUGCUAUGGAAGCUAUUGUGAAGGCAAGAAAAGAAGCCAACGAGGUGAUGAAAAUGGCAAGGAACCAAGAUGCCGCGGCCGAGGAGAGGAGGUUGGCGGCCGAGGAGAGGAGGGUGGCCGCCGAGUAG